AGAGUUUGAUCCUGGCUCAGAGUGAACGCUGGCGGCGUAGAUUAGGCAUGCAAGUCAAGCGAUAUCCAUUUUUUGAGACAUUGAGACCGCAAGGUGGAUGUGUUGAGAAAAAAGGAAUAUAGCGGCAGACUGGUGAGUAACACGUGAGUAAUUUACCUCUAAGUCGGGGAUAGCCUUGCGAAAGCGAGGAUAAUACCCGAUGUGUUUACCCUGUCAUAAGGCGGGGUAAGUAAAGAAGGCCCGUAAGGGUUUUUGUUUAGAGAUGAGCUCGCGUCCUAUCAGCUAGUUGGUAGGGUAAUGGCCUACCAAGGCUUUUGACGGGUAGCUGGCCUGAGAGGGUGGUCAGCCACACGGGGACUGAGACACUGCCCCAACUCCUACGGGAGGCUGCAGUCGAGGAUAUUUAGCAAUGGGCGAAAGCCUGACUAUGUGACGCCGCGUGAGGGAUGAAGGCCUUCGGGUUGUAAACCCCUUUCAGGAGGGAAGAUGGGACGGGCAACCGUUCGGACGGUACCUCCAGAAGCAGCCACGGCUAACUCUGUGCCAGCAGCCGCGGUAAUAC
rnacentral:rRNA from 1 species